rnacentral:snoRNA from 1 species
AAGACUAUACUUUCAGGGAUCAUUUCUAUAGUUCAUGACUUGAGGAAUGUGUUUCUAAAGUGUAUGGUCUCGCUGACCACGAUGAGGAGUUGUUGAUACUCCUUCUUGAACAUGAAACAGGCAGAGACAUGAUGUUAUUGGUGUUCUCUGCUCCUGAUGAUUGUUCAUUGCUUCACCUGCAGACAGUGAGGGAAGGAGCAUAAUCUGAGUGGG